rnacentral:rRNA from 1 species
GCACGUAGUUGGCCGGUGCUUCUUCUGCAGGUACCGUCACUUUCGCUUCGUCCCUGCUGAAAGAGGUUUACAACCCGAAGGCCGUCGUCCCUCACGCGGCGUCGCUGCGUCAGGCUUUCGCCCAUUGCGCAAUAUUCCCCACUGCUGCCUCCCGUAGGAGUCUGGGCCGUGUCUCAGUCCCAGUGUGGCCGGUCACCCUCUCAGGCCGGCUACCCGUCGUCGCCUUGGUGAGCCAUUACCUCACCAACUAGCUGAUAGGCCGCGAGCUCAUCCUUGACCAAAAUUCUUUCCACCCCCAGGAGAUGCCUCCGAGGGUCGUAUCCGGUAUUAGACGUCGUUUCCAACGCUUAUCCCAGAGUCAAGGGCAGAUUGCUCACGUGUUACUCACCCGUUCGCCACUAAUCCAGCAGGAGCAAGCUCCCGCCUUCAUCGUUCGACUUGCAUGUGUUAAGCACGCCGCCAGCGUUCGUC